rnacentral:rRNA from 1 species
CCUACGGGAGGCUGCAGUGGGGAAUAUUGGACAAUGGGGGGAACCCUGAUCCAGCCAUGCCGCGUGUGUGAAGAAGGCCCUCGGGUUGUAAAGCACUUUCAGUGAGGAAGAACGCCUGGUGGUUAAUACCCAUCAGGAAAGACAUCACUCACAGAAGAAGCACCGGCUAACUCCGUGCCAGCAGCCGCGGUAAUACGGAGGGUGCGAGCGUUAAUCGGAAUUACUGGGCGUAAAGCGCGCGUUGGUGGCUUGAUAAGCCGGUUGUGAAAGCCCCGGGCUCAACCUGGGAACGGCAUCCGGAACUGUCAAGCUAGAGUGCAGGAGAGGAAGGUAGAAUUCCCGGUGUAGCGGUGAAAUGCGUAGAGAUCGGGAGGAAUACCAGUGGCGAAGGCGGCCUUCUGGACUGACACUGACACUGAGGUGCGAAAGCGUGGGUAGCAAACAGGAUUAGAUACCCUUGUAGUC